rnacentral:lncRNA from 1 species
UGUGUGUUUAAAGUACUUAUUGUAGUAUAUAGAUAUUUAAGGAAUAAGUAUGAAUUGUAGUUAUUCCCCUUUGCCCAUAUGUUACAUGUACUGUCUUGUCAUGUGAAUAUUUAUUAUUUGUUAUUAUAUGUUGUAGGGUCUAAAUAUUGUGUAUUAAAGAAAAGAUCCCUAGAACAUCGUUAAUGUUGUAUUUGCCUAGAAAAUACCCCGUUACACAU